UAGCCGUAAUCCCCUUUCGUCUUCACCAAAUACACGCCAAAUUAGGGUCACCGAAAAAUGUUCUUUUGCAUUCUCUGACACCAUCAGUGGCGUUUCGAGGGAUUGGAUGACUCGAAUCAACUUGAAGAAUCUCUUUGUUUGUCUUCAAUCAUGUCGUUUAGCCUUCUCCUCUAAUCAACCGAAACGGUCCGAGUUACAGGUUCAUCGCUUUUAUCGCCUUCUUAACUCUGCAAGGCGGUUUCUUCUACACCUAUAAAAAGUGUGCUCAGAUUCUGGAAGCCAGGAAUGUCAAACGUGGUGGGGAACUGAUGUCUCUUGAUAUGUUUUACUGGAUUCAAAGGUAACUAUGUUCUUAAACUCAUGUUUAGAGUGCUUUUAUGUUCAUAAACUCAUGCUCAAAGUGUUUUUGAAACCAUGUUAAAAGUGUUCUUAAACUUAUGUUCAUAGUCUUCUUAUGUUAUUAAACUCAUGUUCAUAGUGUUCUUAAACUCAUCAUUAUUAAACUGUAAUAUUCAGAUCUUAAUUAAGCAUCUUCUGAAAGAUUUAUUUACUUGAAUCCACUCUGGUAAGGUUUCAUAUUAAUCUUUGUAUCUGCUCAUUAAAUGUAAUGCAAGUUUUUUCUGAAGCCAUCUUCCUGGUGUGUCAACCUGCAUUGUUAUGAACCUUCAAGCAAAAUGAUCAUAUAUCACUAACUAUUCAAUCUCCCUUGAAGCUUAGUUUUUCCCCUGAAAGAUUGGGAUUUGGUGAAGGGUUGCAUAUGAUUUCCCAACCUCUGUAUUGUUUUAGGUGUUAGUAGUUUAAUUUAUGUUCUGAAGCAGUUGUGAUUCUUCUUAGCUGGAUCGUGUAAUGAUGAGAGGACUGGUAAACUACAUUCAUUCUUGGUUACUUCGCAUCCACAAUAAAUUUAGAAAUCACCUGUGUGUAGAGUAGACUGUAUAUCAUAUUGUUAGAAUAUUACGAAGAAGCUCAGGUUUUGUGUAUAAUUUAUAGUGUUGACGUUUUUUUUUGUGAUAGUAGUAUGCCCUAAUUACGACAUUGCAGGACGUGUAUGUCUAGCUCUGUGUAGCCUAAUAAUACAUGUAAGGUAUGUUGAUAUUUUAUCCUAUGUCUUAUACACACACACCGUAUAUUUAGAAAUUAUUAUAUCCUUUGUCUUGAUAUCCAACCGACCAAGGUAACUCAAAAGUCAACUCAUUUCAUGUUUAGUUUAUUAUAUCUUAUAUCCAAAGUUUGGGUGUCAUGAAACAAUUUUUUUUCUUCGGGAUAUCUGACAGAUAUAUCAGAGGGUUCUGCUUUGCAUUCGAAGCAAAGAAGAAGUGGAGAAGCUGGAGAAGUACUUGGCCUGAGUUAUGUACCAAGCAUAAGCCUUUUCAUUUCCACUCUCUCAGAUUUAGGUUAACCUCAGCACACUGCUGUCCAGCUGUCCAGACACUCAAACCUAUUCCUUGUCUUCACACAGUGAGCUGGCUUGACUGUACCAUGCUCACACAAAGCUUGCUUGUUUACUGAAGUUGCAGAAGACGACAAAGACUUGAUCUUGGGCUGAGAGACAGCAACAGUCUUCUUCUUUUCCUCCAAAUGGGCUUCGAGCAACGGCCCAAUAUUCAUACUACCUUUACUCCCCCUCAAACUUGGCGUAGGAGGCACGGAAACACCAAGUUUGCUUCUCCACUUGUAGAAAGACUUUUAUGAUAAUGAUUUUGUAAACACAUCCGCAAUCUGCAUUGCUUGACUUCCAGAGCUUUGACUGCUACUCGUUCUCUGACAUAAUGAUAGUCAAUAUCAAAAUGCUUAGUCCUUUUAUGAAA